AAGAACAAAUUGUUGUUGGUCCUACCUGGAGACGGUCUAGUGACGUGGAGGGUCCGGGUGUGGAUGGAGGCCGGGAGCCAGCGCGCUCACCCCUGCCCGGGCCGGCGGGAAGUGUCCUGUCCGUACACUGCGUCCCCGGGGUGCUUUUUGCCUUCCUUUUCUUUUUUAAAUAGUAUUGAGACAAUGUCUCACAAUGUAGUUCAGAGUGAUUUUGAACUCCUGACUUCCUGACCCAAUUUCUGAUGUGCUGGGAUUACAAGGCGUAACUACCACGCGUGACUCGGAAGGAAAAACAUUCACCUGUCAACAUACAUUUAGUUGAGUCUCGCCUUACAUCUUGCGGCUGCAGGACCUGGUGAUUCUGAGGCUUUCAGGUCAGUCUAAGAUACAUAAGAUCCUGGAGAGAGAGAGAAGAAAGAGAAAUGUGAAGAAGGGUGGGCAGAAGACAGUCGGUUUAACUCAGUUUCCUGAGUGAGAGUGUUAGUUAUAAUUGUGCACAUAAUCAUUGAUUUGCGCUUCAACUUUCAGAGAUAGUCUUUAGAAACAGAUAAAGCUCAUUUUCAGCUGUC